AACUUGACCCUUUUAGGGGGGGCGGCGCUGAGACCUCUCGGGGUUACAGCCUUGCUGAAUUAUUCACCCUUGUCUUUUGCGUACUUCUUGUUUCCUUGGUGGGUUCGCCCACCACUAGGACAAACAUAAACCUUUUGUAAUUGCAAUCAGCGUCAGUAACAAAUUAAUAAUUACAACUUUCAACAACGGAUCUCUUGGUUCUGGCAUCGAUGAAGAACGCAGCGAAAUGCGAUAAGUAGUGUGAAUUGCAGAAUUCAGUGAAUCAUCGAAUCUUUGAACGCACAUUGCGCCCUUUGGUAUUCCAAAGGGCAUGCCUGUUCGAGCGUCAUUUGUACCCUCAAGCUUUGCUUGGUGUUGGGCGUCUUGUCUCUAGCUUUGCUGGAGACUCGCCUUAAAGUAAUUGGCAGCCGGCCUACUGGUUUCGGAGCGCAGCACAAGUCGCACUCUCUAUCAGCAAAGGUCUAGCAUCCAUUAAGCCUUUUUUUCAACUUUUGACCUCGGAUCAGGUAGGGAUACCCGCUGAACUUAAGCAUAUCAAUAAGCGGAGGAAA
rnacentral:rRNA from 1 species